GAUGAACGCUGGCGGCGUGCCUAAUACAUGCAAGUCGAGCGAACAGACGAGGAGCUUGCUCCUCUGACGUUAGCGGCGGACGGGUGAGUAACACGUGGAUAACCUACCUAUAAGACUGGGAUAACUUCGGGAAACCGGAGCUAAUACCGGAUAAUAUAUUGAACCGCAUGGUUCAAUAGUGAAAGACGGUUUUGCUGUCACUUAUAGAUGGAUCCGCGCCGCAUUAGCUAGUUGGUAAGGUAACGGCUUACCAAGGCAACGAUGCGUAGCCGACCUGAGAGGAGGAGCAGUCACACUGGGACUGAGACACGGUCCAGACUACGACGGGAGGCAGCAGUGGGGAAUAUUGGAAAAUGGGCGAAAGCCUGAUACAGACAUGCCGCGUGUGUGAAGAAGGUCUUCGGAUUGUAAAGCACUUUAAGUUGGGAGGAAGGGCAGUAAGUUAAUAACUUGCUGUCUUGACGUUACCAACAGAAUAAGAACCGGCUAACUUCGUG
rnacentral:rRNA from 1 species